UCAAAGCUUCAAACUGGGAUUAGAUACCCCACUAUUUUUAGUUGUAAAUUUAGUCUAAGCUUACCGGAGUACUACGAAUCAAAAAAUUUAAAACUCAAAGGGCUUGGCGGUGUUUUAGACCUCUCAGGGGAACCUGUCUCAUAAUCGACAAUCCGCGCUAAACCUGACCUUUUCUGGUAAUGCAGCCUGUAUACCGUCGUCGUCAGGUAACUUCUUAAAAUAUAGUAGUUAGCUAGAGAAUUGUAUUAAUUAGGACGUCAGAUCAAGGUGCAGCUAAUGAGAGGGUGAAGAUGGGUUACAAUUACAAAUUUGUAAUAACGGAAAGGCGUUUGAAAUUAAAUGCCUUAAAGGAGGACUUGAAAGUAAUUUUAAGUAAAUAAAUAAAAUGAAUAAGGCUCUGAAACGUGCACACACCGCCCGUCACCCUCUGCAGUCAAAA
rnacentral:rRNA from 1 species